rnacentral:rRNA from 1 species
AUUGAACGCUGGCGGCAUGCCUUACACAUGCAGGUCGAACGGUAACAGGUCUUCGGAUGCUGACGAGUGGCGAACGGGUGAGUAAUACAUCGGAACGUGCCUAGUAGUGGGGGAUAACUACUCGAAAGAGUGGCUAAUACCGCAUGAGAUCUACGGAUGAAAGCAGGGGAUCGCAAGACCUUGUGCUACUAGAGCGGCCGAUGGCAGAUUAGGUAGGUGGUGGGAUAAAAGCUUACCAAGCCGACGAUCUGUAGCUGGUCUGAGAGGACGAUCAGCCACACUGGGACUGAGAAACGGCCCAGACUCCUACGGGAGGCAGCAGUGUGGAAUUUUGGACAAUGGGCGCAAGCCUGAUCCAGCAAUGCCGCGUGCAGGAUGAAGGCCUUCGGGUUGUCAACUGCUUUUGUACGGAACGAAAAGCCCCGGGUUAAUACCCUGGGGUCAUGACGGUACCGUAAGAAUAAGCACCGGCUAACUACGUGCCAGCCGCCGCCGUAA